GCCUCUUUGGCCAAGUUGGUAAGGCGCGGCACUAGUAAUGCCGAGAUCAUCGGUUCAAAUCCGAUAGGAGGCA